AAGAAGUUCUUUCGAACUUUAAAACCCUAAAAUCAUUGGUAAUUUUUGAAAAACAAACUUUAAACUGUUUCAUAAUUAUUAGAUUAAAGUCAUAGGAACAUAAAAGUAACCUUAAAACCACAAAUAAUAAACAAACGCGGAUUAAACACUGCUUUGCAGAUUCUGGCGCAUGGCGCAUCACCGCCAGCGGCGCGACGAUGGAAUUUAAUAAAUUCAUGCCUAUUUGAAGGUCGCAUGUUGAAAUCAAUACGUGUUUGUAAAUCAAUAUUGCGCUACAUUUCUGUGCUGAUUUCACGACCGCACGGUGUUGAAAUGAACACGGAAACGCUUAGAACAUUGAAUAUAUAACGGUUUCGUCUCCGUAAAUAGGUUCAGUGUAGUACCCUUAUCUACAUGCUUACGACCAUACAUAUUUAAAGCAAAAAUAUCAGAAUUCCUCGUCCCGCGUCCCAUGAGCAAUCCGCUAGAUUCAGUCUUUAUUUGUGUGCGAUACGAUUCACUUGUUGAAAAAUAAAAAAUGCCAAACAAAACGCGUAAGAGAUGUCGAUCUCGUUCCCGCUCGGAAGAAAGUGGCGGGAAAAAUUUAUCUCUACUUAAACGCAUGGAUAAAAGAAAAUAAGAAUACCCCUAAAAAGAUAGUAUUACGGGUACUAACAAGUUCAAAUGAGGAUAGUGACAAUAGUGAGGUAGAUAAUUAUUCGGUUAGUUCGUGAAGUGAGAUAAAAAGUAGGAACGAGAAAAAUGUAGAGGAUACAGAUAAAUAAAAUUUAAACAAUACUUGGUUACGGGAAAUUUGUUUCCAAAUUAUUCAACCAACAUAAAGAUAAUAUAGACAUGUUAAUGGGAUACGGUGGUGGUUACUCUAGUUCAACAUGUCGGUAGAGUACGGUGGUGAUUACUCUAUCUUGGUGUAGGAUAUAAAAUUGGUGAAUUAUAUCCGAUUGUCAUUUGAUGUAUUAAAGUAUAUUGUUGGUGAAUAUGCUUUAACAUUUCGAAUGAAAUUAAUAAAUAAAUAUUAAACGCCUACAUAAUAAUAGGUAAAUUACCAAGAUACGUUUUAUAACAGGGUUGACCCUUAAUAAUGAUGAAGAGGAUCCAACGGUAUUAAGCCAACAGGAUGCUGAAACUUCAAAGUCUUUAGAUGAAGGUUUAUUAGAUAUUUCGGGAAACGAUAUGAAUAAUGAAAGUUCUUAUGGUCAACCCAUUCAGCCAGAGAUUGUAAAGAGAUGGUUACAUAUUUCUGGAAAUGGGCUUGAAGAGACUGUUCUUAAAAACGUAAUGGAGAAGUAUCCCCUUCCAGAAAAUGGUACAUGCUUAGGCCCGCCACAAUUAAAUAUUAUGUAAAACAAGUCAUUCAUGAAUCGGUGGAGCGCAGGGAUAAUAAACUGGCAACAAUAUAAUCACGACUGGCUGCCAGUUUGUCCGCUCUUGGUCAGGUUAUGACAAAAAUGUUAGGAAAGAAAGGUUAUUUUGCCUCAAUUGUAAUUAUUGUUCGUUUUGUACUAGAUAGUUUUAAAGGUUAUAAUUAUUAUGUAUUUAACCAAAUUAUUGAAUGUUUUCAAAAAGUGUUAUUAUUAUUAGGUAUGGGUCGUAUCUAAAGUAUUAAUAUAUAAGAAAUAUUUUUUCAAAAAAAACUGGAAUUUUUGCUUUAAAUAUGUGUGGUCGUAAGCAUGUAGAUAAGGGUACUACACUAAACUUAUUUACUUCGACGAGACCUUCAUAUAAUCAAUAUUGAACUUCACUUCAGUGAUAGAUUGUAAGAAAAGAUGGCGCAACAUUAAGGACGCUUAUAUGAAAAGAGAAAAAAAAGAAAAGGGAUCAACUGGAUCUGCUACCAAUAAAUCAAAACCUUGGCCUCUGUCUGAAAGGUUGUUUUUUCUAAAAAAAGUGAAUCAUAAACGACUAAGCGCAUCAAACAUUGAAGAGCAAGAAAGUCAAUAUGAACAAGAAACUGACGGUAAUGAAACUAUAUGCACAACAAUUGAAGAAACAUCUUAUUCACCCCCGGAGUUUGAUGAUGCACUUUUCAUCUCUGAAGCACCAUCUAGAUCUACUUUUUAAGCAUCUGGUUUUACUCUACAAAGGAACACUCCAAGUCACAAUUUACAUUCACAGCCAAGUAAGAAACAAAAAUUCACUGACAAUCUUACUUGAAUGAUGCAAGACUGGCAAAACGACCGAGCCAAAAUUAUAAAUUCAAUAUCUAAAAAAAACGAAGAUCAUGAAAUUGAUGUGUUUUUUAAAAGUAUUGCUAUGUCCGUAAAAAAAUUCAAGAGAGAGCUCCAAAACAAAGCAAAAUUGCAAACCUUAAAAAUGGUUACUGAUUUAAAAGAACGUAACAAAUCUACUACCAGUACGCCUCAAAUAUCACCUUUAGAAUCAAAUUCCAGCAGUAGUUUUAUGCCAACACACAAACAUGCAAAAUUUUUAUGUACGUGCUUUCAAUCAAUAUGAAAAUCUAUGAUGUAUUUUAAUUAGGUACCUACCGAAUAUGAUCAUGAAUAAAUACAUAAUACUUACCGCAAAGUAACAGCUAG